rnacentral:rRNA from 1 species
UACGGGGGGGGCAAGCGUUGUUCGGAAUUACUGGGCGUAAAGGGCGCGUAGGCGGCCUGCUAAGUCACACGUGAAAUCCCUCGGCUCAACCGGGGGAACUGCGUGUGAUACUGGCGGGCUUGAAUUCGGGAGAGGGAUGUGGGAAUUCCAGGUGUAGCGGUGAAAUGCGUAGAUAUCUGGAGGAACACCGGUGGCGAAGGCGGCAUCCUGGACCGAGAUUGACGCUGAGGCGCGAAAAGCGUGGGGAGCAAACGGG